rnacentral:rRNA from 1 species
GGGCCCGCACAAGCGGUGGAGCAUGUGGUUUAAUUCGAUGAUACGCGAGGAACCUUACCAGGGCUUAAAUGUAAGUUGCAUAAGCUAGAGAUAGCUUUUUCUUCGGACUACUUACAAGGUGCUGCAUGGUUGUCGUCAGCUCGUGCCGUGAGGUGUCAGGUUAAGUCCUAUAACGAGCGCAACCCCUGUUGUUAGUUGCCAUCGAGUAAUGUCGGGAACUCUAACAAGACUGCCGGUGCAAACCGUGAGGAAGGUGGGGAUGACGUCAAAUCAUCACGGCCCUUACGUCCUGGGCUACACACGUGCUACAAUGGCCGGUACAGAGAGCAGCCACUACGCGAGUAGGAGCGAAUCUAUAAAACCGGUCUCAGUUCGGAUCGGGGUCUGCAACUCGGCCCCGUGAAGCUGGAAUCGCUAGUAAUCG